GUGUCAGGAUCCUCGCAUGAACUGUUGUUUUUGUCUCCCCCUACCUGUUGGAGUGUGAUAGUUCGGGACUUUGUUUAUGUUUGGAGCCAUGUAUUGGUCAUGUGUCCGGGGUGACACCCAUGUCCUUAUUUGGGCGACUUCCUGCCUUUUGUUUGUGCCCUCCAUUUUCUCUGUCCACCUGUACCUCAUUUUGCAUUGAUUGGUGGAGUAUUUAAACGCUGCCCUUUCUGCUCACUUUGUCAGAUCGUCACGUUAGGUACUGUUUGCUACCCGACUGCCACGUGAGUGCGACUAGCGUGAGGCUCUUUAAAGAGAGACUAUAGUUUCUGUUCUUCCCGGUUUUGAACCCUGCCUGUUUGGACUAAGCCUUCUGCCUAUCAGUUUUUGGAUCUCUUGCCUGAAGCUGUUCGUCAGUAUCUGUCUGCCUGCCUGCCCGUUUACGAACCCUGCCUGUACCUGGAAUCUGAUUUGCCCGCUGGACUGUAUGGAAAUAAACCCUUUUUGAUCUGCUAUUGAUUCCCGUUCUGUGUCGUGACAGUACGAUCUGACCAAGAUGGAAUCAGCAGAUCUGGAUCAGGUGAAAGCUGUGCUGGAGAGGCAAGGAGCGCUUCUCGGUCAACAUCAAGCCCAGCUUCAGACAGUUGAAGAUUCCCUGGGGACCAUCGCAACCAGCAUCACAGACUUGGCGGCCCAGCUGCAGCAGGUCCAACUGGCCCUGGUGCGGCCACCCCAGCCUCAACUGGCGACACCGCCCGACCCCCCCCGUCUGCCAGCUCCUGCACUUUAUGCCGGGGAACCUGGAACCUGCAGAUCGUUCCUUUCAUAAUGUUCGCUGGUGUUCCAGCUGCAGCCCGCCACCUUUCCGUCGGAUCAGUCCCGGGUUGCUUAUGUCAUUACCCUCUUGGCUGGCCGUGCAAGAGAGUGGGGAACUGCGGUUUGGGACUCCAACUCCCCAGCCUGUCUCAGCUAUCAGGCAUUCAUAGAUGAGAUGAAGAAGGUCUUUGAUCGCUCGGUGCACGGAGAGAGGCCGCCCGAGUGAUGUUGCAGAUCCGUCAAGGCAAGAGGUCUGCUUCUGACUAUGCAAUAGACUUCCGCACCCUCGCCGCCACCAGUGGAUGGAAUUCAGAUGCCCAGUAUGAUGCCUUCCUCUAUGGACUCUCUGAGGCCAUCAAGGAUGAGGUCGCCACCCGUGAGCUGCCUUCCACCUUUGAUGACCUCGUUGAGCUUGCCAUCCGGGUGGACAAACGCCUGAAGCAGCGCGCCGGGGAGCGAGAGUUCCGCCCUCCUCCGAGGUCACCCGCCUCGGAGGCCCCUCUCCGUUCCUGCCUGCGCUAGCUUACCCCAGCCUACCAGAGCCCAUGCAAGUGGACCGUACCCAUCUGUCCCCAGCCGAGAGACAGAGAAGAAGGGACACCAAUUCGUGCAUGUAUUGUGGUAAACCGGGUCAUUACUCCGCCCAAUGCCCGGCAAAAGGCAACGGUCACCCGUAGAAGGGGGAUUACUGGUGAGCGUCACUCCUCUUCAUCCCUCUGCUACCACCCGUACCCUUGUCCCUGCCACGCUCAUUACAGGAGCUCAUUCCCACCUCGUGUCUGCACUUAUUGACUCGGGAGCGGAUGGCAAUUUCAUGGACACCUCCCUGGUCUCUGAGCUACACCUCGUCCCAGCCCAGCUGAAGUCCCCUCUGGAGGCAAGAGCACUAACCGGAGCAAGGUUCUCCCAGAUAACCCAUGUCACGCCCCCGUCUCACCAGCCACAGAUGAUUCCAUGGAUCUGUCUGAAGUACCACCUGAGUACCUGGAUCUCAAGGCUGUGUUCAGUAAAGCCCGUGCAACCUCCCUGCCACCGCACCGACCCUAUGACCUGGCCAUCGAGCUUCUACCUUCACUCCCAACAUGUCCGUAGUGUCCUGCAGCGCCUUUUGGAGAACCAACUGUUCGUUAAAGCGGAGAAAUGUGAAUUUCACAAAGAGACUGUUUCCUUCCUGGGGUAUGUCAUCACAGCUGGAGGGGUCCAGAUGGAUGGCCCGAAGGGUGAAGUUCACUUGGUCACCAGCUGCCGGG
ensembl:lncRNA